UCUCUGUUCCCAGCUGCAGUAUGAACCUCUCUCCCCCCAAUAACAGGCUGCCCUGCCCUCUGUCCCUCCUCUGGCAGGGCAGCCGGCACUACAGCAAGGAGCUCUGCCUCCAUUGAAGAUGUCCCCCUCUUCAGUCACAGCUGCCAGUGGCCCUGGGAUAGUUUUCAGGAGGGAAGUAGGCCAGGACAUGGCUUCGUUUCAGGGAUGUGGAAAGCAGAGAAGAAUAAAGUAUUCUGAAUGCAAUGCAAAGGCUUUGAAUGGGAAGGAGAACACUUACAAAGCUCAGGAAACAAGACUCCAGCAAGGUCCCGUCACACAGUCUCCCCACAGCUGAUGUGAGUGCCUUCUCCUCUGCAGCUGCUGACAUCUGCAACAGCCUUCCUGCAUUCUUCCAGCUCAUCAGUUCUCCAUCUGUUCUCAAAUGUCUGACCAAUAUGUGGCUUUUCUCCUUUGGUGGCACUGUGUAACUUCUCAAUUGCUUUGCUAAUCUUUAUUAUUUAAUUCUGUGAUGACAUUAUUUAACUCUGUAAAGCAUUAUA